rnacentral:rRNA from 1 species
GAUGAACGCUGGCGGCGUGCCUAAUACAUGCAAGUCGAGCGAACGGACGAGAAGCUUGCUUCUCUGAUGUUAGCGGCGGACGGGUGAGUCACACGUGGAUAACCUACCUAUAAGACUGGGAUAACUUCGGGAAACCGGAGCUAAUACCGGAUGAUAUUUUGAACCGCAUGGUUCAAAAGUGAAAGACGGUCUUGCUGGCACUUAUAGAUGGAUCCGCGCUGCAUUAGCUAGUUGGUAAGGUAACGGCUUACGAAGGCAACGAUGCAUAGCCGACCUGAGAGAGUGAUAGGCCACACGGGAACUGAGACACGGUCCAGACUCCUACGGGAGGCAGCAGUAGGGAAUGUUACGCAAUGGGCGAAAGCCUUACGGAGCAACGCCGCGUGAGUGAUGACGGUCUUCGGAUCGUAAAACUCUGUUAUUAGGGAAGAACAUAUGUGUAAGUAACUGUGCACAUCUUGACGGUACCUAAUCAGAAAGCCACGGCUAACUACGUG